AGGUUCUGCGAGGGAUUUACGAAAUUAAUUGGAUUUAUUGUAGAUCGCGUUCGCAAGAUUCGAAGAAUUAGCUCGAUCCGAAAUUUUACAUAAUGGGAGAGCGACUAGAAGAGCUGAGGGACAAGUUAUCUUAGAUUGGGAUUUAUUUAAAUUGAUAUUUUAUCUUAGACUAUUACUAGACUUGUGAGACAUUGUAAGUUGUGUUAGUUAAAGAAAUAAAGUUUGCAUAAUAUUAGUUAAAAUAUUUCUGCUGCCUGAUUUAAUAUUGUGAUAAGAUGCCUUGCAUUCUCAUGGGGAGAGUUUCC